AUUGAACGCUGGCGGCAGGCCUAACCCAUGCAAGUCGAACGAGUGGCGGACGGGUGAGUAAUGUCUGGGACACUGCCCGAUGGAGGGGGCUAACUACUGGAAACGGUAGCUAAUACCGCAUAACAUCUGAUUUGCCCAGAUUGGAUUAGCUUGUAGGUGAGGUAACGGCUCACCUGGGCGACGAUCCCUAGCUGGUCUGAGAGGAUGACCAGCCAGCCGGUAACUGAGACACGGUACAGAUUCCUACGUGAGGCAGCAGGGGGGAAUAUUGCACAAUGGGCGCAAGCCUGAUGCAGCCAUGCCGCGGGUAUGAAGAAGGCCGUCGGGUUGUAAAGCACUUGCAGCGGGGAGGCGUUACCCGCAGAAGAAUCACCGGCUAACUCCGUGCCAGAAGCCGCGGUAAUAC
rnacentral:rRNA from 1 species